GUUUCUAUAGUUGAAUUACAACGAUGAUUUUUCAUGUCAUUGGUCAUAGGUAGAAUCUAUGUAGAAAUU
ensembl:Mt_tRNA